rnacentral:rRNA from 1 species
UACGUAGGGACCAAGCGUUGUUCGGAUUUACUGGGCGUAAAGGGCGCGUAGGCGGCGUGUUAAGUCAGCUGUGAAAUCUCCGAGCUUAACUCGGAACGGUCAGCUGAUACUGAUGUGCUAGAGUGCAGAAGGGGCAAUCGGAAUUCUUGGUGUAGCGGUGAAAUGCGUAGAUAUCAAGAGGAACACCUGAGGUGAAGACGGGUUGCUGGGCUGACACUGACGCUGAGGCGCGAAAGCUAGGGUAGCAAACGGGG